rnacentral:rRNA from 1 species
UAUCCAAUUUAACCCUGGUUGAAGUUGAAAUAUAUCUAAUGAUGCUAUAUACGUUUAUUAUAUUAUGCUAAUCCUUGAGCAUAUAAAUUUGAGGUGGUUGUAGUAGUGAGAUCUAUCGUUAUAAAGAAAUUUAGUGAUGGUUGUUAGAAGUAGAAGAGGUUAAAGCACAGUGCCAGCAGCCGCGGUUAUACUGUAAUUCUUAUUAUUUCUUUUUUGGUUAAAACUUUUAUUGAAAUUUAAAUAAAAUUGGUUGGUUAAAUAGGUUUUUUUUUGAGAAUACUUCAAUGAUGUGUAAAGUUCCAGUAUAAAGACAGGGAUUAGAUACCCCUUUAUUAGGAUAAAAAAUUUUUGUCCACGGUUUCAAACUGAAAGGGUUUGGCAGCAAACUAAAUUCUUCCGGGGGAAGGUGCUUAUUAAAGAGAUGAUCCGCUUAUUAAUUUACUAUAUCUAGUGUUAGUGUAUAUCCGUUUGUAUAUUCACGCUUAGAGGUCAUAAGUGGGUAAAUAUUAAAUAAUU